CCUACGGGCGGCUGUAGUGGGGAAUAUUGGACAAUGGGGGGAACCCUGAUCCAGCCAUGCCGCGUGUGUGAAGAAGGCCCUCGGGUUGUAAAGCACUUUCAGUGAGGAAGAACGCCUGGUGGUUAAUACCCAUCAGGAAAGACAUCACUCACAGAAGAAGCACCGGCUAACUCCGUGCCAGCAGCCGCGGUAAUACGGAGGGUGCGAGCGUUAAUCGGAAUUACUGGGCGUAAAGCGCGCGUAGGUGGCUUGAUAAGCCGGUUGUGAAAGCCCCGGGCUCAACCUGGGAACGGCAUCCGGAACUGUCAAGCUAGAGUGCAGGAGAGGAAGGUAGAAUUCCCGGUGUAGCGGUGAAAUGCGUAGAGAUCGGGAGGAAUACCAGUGGCGAAGGCGGCCUUCUGGACUGACACUGACACUGAGGUGCGAAAGCGUGGGUAGCAAACAGGAUUAGAUACCCUUGUAGUC
rnacentral:rRNA from 1 species